AGUGAGCGCUGGCGGUAGGCCUAACACAUGCAAGUCGAACGGCAGCACAGUAAGAGCUUGCUCUUACGGGUGGCGAGUGGCGGACGGGUGAGGAAUACAUCGGAAUCUACUUUUUCGUGGGGGAUAACGUAGGGAAACUUACGCUAAUACCGCAUACGACCUACGGGUGAAAGCAGGGGAUCUUCGGACCUUGCGCGAUUGAAUGAGCCGAUGUCGGAUUAGCUAGUUGGCGGGGUAAAGGCCCACCAAGGCGACGAUCCGUAGCUGGUCUGAGAGGAUGAUCAGCCACACUGGAACUGAGACACGGUCCAGACUCCUACGGGAGGCAGCAGUGGGGAAUAUUGGACAAUGGGCGCAAGCCUGAUCCAGCCAUACCGCGCGGGUGAAGAAGGCCUUCGGGUUGUAAAGCCCUUUUGUUGGGAAAGAAAAGCAGCAGGUUAAUACCCCGCUGUUCUGACGGUACCCAAAGAAUAAGCACCGGCUAACUUCGUG
rnacentral:rRNA from 1 species